UUUCUCCUUUGUGCCCGAAGGCAAAACCGACCCCGCCGUUGAGGAGUUGGUAGCCGCUAGUCUUGGGGCUGCAAGACAGAAACACCCUCCGGCUGAGCCAGAUGCAUUUGUAAGUGGAGAGGAAGUAGAGAGAACCAUACAGUACCAACCAUUACCAACUUGUGGCCAAUGUGAUGUCAACCAGCCUCUCUGGCACCCUUCCCCAUCAAGUAUGAUUCUGAAGAGAAUGCCAGACAUGUACCACGCUGCCCACAAAUAUUUCCAUAUGUUUCUCUCAACGGGGACUCGAUUACGAUUCCAUUAUCACAGGAAAAUUAAUAAAAUAUCACUAAAUAAGA